rnacentral:tRNA from 1 species
GCUGGUGUAGCUAAAUUGGCAGAGCAGCUGACUUGUAAUCAGCAGGUUGGGGGUUCGAUUCCUCUCGCCAGCUCCA